GUGACUGCUCUCUAUUUUUCCCUCUUCACACUUCUUUCACUCUCUUCUCACUCAGCGUCGUCCUCCAUCUCUCUUUCUUCGGCGUCUUCGCCGGUUCUCACAGCCACCGGCAUGGCGAACGCCGCUGGUGCUAUCCCUCUUUGUCUCUUCCUUAUUUCUCUGUGCUAAUUUUAAUCCUAAUUUCUUUAUAGAUCUGUAAACCCUAAUUUCCUCGACGAUUCUCAAUCUCCCUCUCGAUUCUCGUCCGUCCGGCGGAUAUCGCCGCCGUUGCCGUACUACCGCGCCUUCACACCGUUUGGACCGCUCUUCGCGCACUACGGUACUUCUCUAUAUUCUCUCUCUCUCUCGCUCGCCGCCCUGUCUGUUUGUUUCCUACACGGCGGCCACCGCGCCUCAAGAAGAACCGGCGGUCGUCGCGGCCAGCCCGAGCCUCCCCCGCGGUGCGAAUUUAUACAAGGUACUUUUCAUACAAAAGGUAUGAUUUUCACUAAUUGGUUGUCUUUUCUUUUAUUGUGCCAUCAGAUAAUUGGAAAUUAUUAGUUUCUAUUUCAUAUUAUGUUGAUAAAAGAUCUCAGUGUAGUUUUAGACUAUUCUCCAUCAGGUAAUAUACAGUCCGAUGCUUGUUGUUGAACUUUGAUGCGAAUCAUGUAAUUUAGCAUUUCAUUUUACUCGAGUUUUUAAUUAUCUAAGCCUCUGCCAUGUCUAAUAUUUGUAAUUGCAGAAGGGCGAGUUACUUGGUAAUGAGAACAUUAAUAGAGUUAUAAUGUGGAAGAAAGCUAGAGUGAAAAAAAGAUAAGACCGUUGAGAAUGAAGACUUAAAGAAAGCAAGGUGGAAAUGAAGACUUAAAGAAAGCAAUGUGGGAGCAUUGAGAAUGAAGACUUGUAGCUUUUUGUAUGGAUGUUGGAGAUGUUGUAAAAUAAUAGAUAUUUUGUGGAUGUUGGAUGAUUGAUUAUUAUAGAUGAUUAAAUGACAAUUUCAAUAUGUAUAAAUUUAUUAUUUUUACAAUUUAAUGAUAUUUAUAAAUUUAAA